AACGUAGGAGACAAACGUUAUCCGGAGUUACUGGGCGUAAAGGGCGUGUAGGCGGUUUGUUAAGUCUGGCGUGAAAGCUCUCGGCUAAACCGGGAGAGGUCGUUGAAUACUGGCAAACUAGAGGAUGGUAGAGGCGUGUGGAAUUCCGGGUGUAGUGGUGAAAUGCGUAGAGAUCCGGAGGAACACCAGUGGCGAAGGCGACACGCUGGGCCAUACCUGACGCUAAAGCGCGACAGCAUGGGGAGCAAACGGG
rnacentral:rRNA from 1 species